AUUUAUAAAACCCCCACCAGUUUGUCUCAAAGAUCAAUGUGGUCCACAAAAUAUAAAUUUCAGGUCGUCAUUUAAAAUGUUAAGCUGCUAAUUUUCUUUAGUGAGUAGAAUAAUCAGUUAUACUGGAUGCCAGAUAGAAGUCUUCACUCUCUAUAAACCACAUCAAGAGAUCACAGGAUGCAAAAGGCUUUCUCCUGGGAGCAUGCCCUGGAACCUAAAGCUCCAAAGUCUGUUGCCUGGUGAUUGGAUAGAAGCUGGAAUGUACUGGCAGAUCUAUUGUGGCAAGAAUGUGCAAAAUCCCUCUACAUGGCAUUUUGCACAAGAUUUGAUAAGAAAAUAUGGGGAAUUGCUCACUGGGGAUGCUAUUUUUUUUUUUUUUCGCCUGUUCCAUGCAAGCUCCAUUUAGAAGCCUCUAAGAACUCUAAGACUGGGGUCCAAAGCAAAUAACUAUAGCACACAACAAUCCACCCCUCAAAACAUAUCUUUUCCUCUAAUUUUUUUUGUUGUUGUUUACGAUGUUUCACAUAAGAUGAUCACACCACAUCAAUUAUGAUGAAAACCUUUGUUUGGGGGGUCUUGGAGGAAUUCCUCAGAAGAUCAAUCUUUUAAGUAAAAAUAAAGAAAUAUGUACAUAUAAAUAUGCCAGUCUCAGAUAUUAAUGUCAUUGAAAUAAUGGCCAUUGAUUUAUUUAUAUAGACCCUGUUACAUUAUUUAGUGUUAUCUUGGUGCUUUUAUUCAAACACAUUCUUUGGUUCUCUAACUAUUAAUGAUUCUAGAAGUUAUAUGAUCCAUUCUAUCCCCUAGCUUCACAUUAUCUUGUUAUAACCUUCAGCAACUAAUUUCCACUUUUGCGAUCAUUUGACUCCCAUCCCGACCAGCAGAGAAAUGUGGGAAAGAGUAAGAGGAUGCUGUGUUCCGGGGAAUGCUAAUUUCCUGGCUUGGUUUUGCCACCUGCUACCUAUAUGUAACCUUUCUGAAGCUCAGUUGUCAUUUGUGUAAUUGGGUAUAAUAACGCUUCACAGAGUUAUAAGGCUAAAAGAUACGGUACUUUGGAAAUUGCUUUGUAAAAUUCUGUGAAAGCAAAAGGCAAGAAAUUAUUAAGGCUCUUAAUGUCAAUGCCAGUCUAAUGACUAUGUCUGUUACUUCAUUUUUGGUGAUAUUGUCUUAAUAUUGAAAGUCAA
rnacentral:lncRNA from 1 species